rnacentral:rRNA from 1 species
UACGUAGGUUCCGAGCGUUGUCCGGAUUUAUUGGGCGUAAAGCGAGCGCAGGCGGUUAGAUAAGUCUGAAGUUAAAGGCUGUGGCUUAACCAUAGUACGCUUUGGAAACUGUUUAACUUGAGUGCAAGAGGGGAGAGUGGAAUUCCAUGUGUAGCGGUGAAAUGCGUAGAUAUAUGGAGGAACACCGGUGGCGAAAGCGGCUCUCUGGCUUGUAACUGACGCUGAGGCUCGAAAGCGUGGGGAGCAAACAGGAUUAGAUACCUGGUAGUCAAGGGCGUUAAUCGUGAAACCU